rnacentral:rRNA from 1 species
UGGGGGAUAUUGCGCAAUGGGGGAAACCCUGACGCAGCAACGCCGCGUGAAGGAAGAAGGCCUUCGGGUUGUAAACUUCUUUAAGUGUGGAAGAUAAUGACGGUACACACAGAAUAAGCCACGGCUAACUACGUGCCAGCAGCCGCGGUAAUACGUAGGUGGCGAGCGUUGUCCGGAUUUACUGGGUGUAAAGGGCGUGUAGGCGGGUAAACAAGUCAGAUGUGAAAUACCUAAGCUCAACUUAGGGGCUGCCGUUGAUACUGCAUAGCUGGAAUAUGGUUGCUGUUGGCGGAAUGUGUAGUGUAGCGGUGAAAUGCAUAGAUAUUACACAGAACACCGAUUGCGAAGGCAGCUGACAAAACCAUAAUUGACGCUGAUGCACGAAAGUGUGGGGAUCAAACA